rnacentral:rRNA from 1 species
GAUGAACGCUAGCUACAGGCUUAACACAUGCAAGUCGCGGGGCAGCAUGGGGGUUGCUUGCAAUCCCCGAUGGCGACCGGCGCACGGGUGAGUAACGCGUAUCCAACCUGCCCUUCACCACGGGAUAACCCGGCGAAAGUCGGACUAAUUCCGUAUGUUGUCCAUUGACGGCAUCCGAUUUGGACGAAAGGCUUGGCGGUGAGGGAUGGGGAUGCGUCCGAUUAGCCAGACGGCGGGGUAACGGCCCACCGUGGCUACGAUCGGUAGGGGUUCUGAGAGGAAGGUCCCCCACACUGGAACUGAGACACGGUCCAGACUCCUACGGGAGGCAGCAGUGAGGAAUAUUGAUCAAUGGGCGUAAGCCUGAACCAGCCAAGUAGCGUGCAGGAUGACGGCCCUAUGGGUUGUAAACUGCUUUUAUGCGGGGAUAAAGUGGCCCACGUGUGGGCUUUUGCAGGUACCGCAUGAAUAAGGACCGGCUAAUUCCGUG